rnacentral:sRNA from 1 species
CCACCCGUGGCCGUGGUGUCCUCUGUCCCUGCAGUGAGGGCUCAGCAGCCGUGCCCAUUGAUCUACACCUGAGACUGUGCAUCAGGGGAGACUGUCCAGGAGGCCCCAGGCAGAGUCACAUCACCAUCCUGAUGCUGGGAGUGGGGCCGGCCCUCAUAAUUAGAUGGCUCAUGCUCCAGGGAUAAAGCUGCUUCCCAGAGCACAGAGGCCGUGGACUUCGUGAAGAUGCAUCAACUGUAAAAUCUGCCUGGGAUGCUCAAAUUGCUCAACUAUCUAAGGAGAUGGUCUCCAGAGACCUUCAGAUUCAGACUCUGCAGGAAGAAGAGGUGAAGCUCAAGGCACAGGUGGCCCGAUCCCAGCAGGAUAUUGAAAGGUUGCUGCCAAGCUGCAGGAGACAGAGCAGGUGCUACGGGAGCAGGAGGUGGUGCUGAAGGCCGUGACCCUGGAACGAGACCAGGCCGUGCAGGCCCUGAGGAUGCAUGGGCUCCCCGGACCAGGGGCACAGAUGCUUCUCAGGCAGCAUGAAGAAGAAAUAAGUAAAGACUUUCCAUCCAGUGAGAUCCAGCGGCUCCGAGAGCAGAACACGAGCCUGCGAAACGCGAUUGCCCAGAUGAGGAAAGAAAUGGAGGCUCUAAGCCAUCAGAUUCCUCCUCCCGUCCAGACAGCGGCAGAGAGCACAGAUGCAAACCAGCCUGACCCAGAGGCUGGGGGAGAUGCCGCCACUCCUGAUUAUGUUCUGGCCCUUGAAGCAGAAAUACGAACUCUAAAGCAUAAGUUUAAAACUCUGGAAAAGCAUCUAGAAGAUGUGUUGGAUCCUUUAAAGAUGUCCUCACCUCAUGCUGAGUCUCAGCCCAGCGUCCGCACCUCGACAGAGACGACUGGAGGGUCUGUCCAAGCUGGUCAAGCAGGAGGAUCUGUCCAAGCUGGCCCAGUAUCCUCUGGACUGGCACUCAGGAAGCUCGGGGACAGAGUGCAGCUCCUAAACCUGCUGGUGACACGACUCAGACAGAAGGUGCUGCGGGAACCCCUGGAGCCGGCCGCUCUCCAGCGUGAGCUUCCCCGUGAGGUGGACCAGGUACACCUGGAGGUUUUGGAGCUGCGGAAGCAGGUGGCUGAGCUGGGGAAGCAUCUCAGGAUAGCCCAGCACGGGGGAGCGGAGCCUUCAGGCAGGAAGCAGCCCCCCGCCUCGGACGCCGUGGCCCUUGGGAGAGAGGUGGGUGCCCGCUAGCUCCUCCUGCCACCCGCCGAGGUUCCUGCCACAGAAACCGUCCUUGCCUGUGCUCUGCCAGCGUUGCUGUCUGUAUGCCCUGGGAGCUCAGGUGGGACGAGGGCUGCCUGGAAGUGGGCCCUGCUCCACGCCCUCUCCCCAUUCCUGCGCCUUCUUCCUCCACACGCCGCCUCUUCUCCUGGUCCUUCACCUGGACGCCCUGUUGGUGGGGGGCGGGACGGGCCCAUCCCAGUCCUCCCUUCAGCUAACAGCAUCUCGUGUUGGAAACGCACACACUGAAGGUGGCUCAUGUUUGCCUUAAUGCAGGGCCUUGACGGCCUGCUGAGGGGGCGUCUACGUGCACAGCCCUGCCUGCCCCAUGCCUAGCGUUGGGCCCUCCCUGCUGCGUUCGGAGCCACACAGCUGCUCCAGGCCACGGCACUCCUAUCCUGGUUUUUGUCAGGCCCUUGGCCCCGAGGGAGUGACCCCCAACUCCAUGGCUGGGUUUGAGCCACAGCUCUGAGCUGUGUAGACGACCCCAGGUCCUGAUUCUGCAGCUUGGCAGAGCCGACCAGUAGGGCCCCCUUCUUCCUACCUAAGGCCAGAGGGAAAGGCUGUGAAGGACAGGCUGCCCGGCCUCCCUGACUUCGUACCCUAGACUGUUGGUAACUGGGAUAACUGUAGUGACCUAUGACCUGUGGUAACCUAUAGUUACCAAUAGUGACCUAUGAAUCCACAGAAGGUUUUGGGGACAGUAGAUGAUGUCUGGAAGGCACAAAGUGGAAGACAGCGUGGAUCCCCAGGGCACCGUGCUUGGGGAGCAGAUCCCCAGGGACUCGGGCUGGAAUAGAGUGGACUGAGGAAGAUGCGGCCGUGGUUGUCUCAGGCUCCAGGACAGUGAGGAGCAGGCCAGAGCUGCCUUGGCAUGGGAUGGGCAAGACCAUAAGGAUGCCUCAGGGGUACAACAGGGCAGGUAUGGGAAGGCCGAGGGAGCCUGAGGCCCCAGCAGGUGCUCAGCCAGUGCGCACAGGAAGGGCUGAGCUGGUCGGUAAGAUAUUGAGCUGCACCUGCCCCUGUACCUGUUGGUAAGGAGGUGGUGUCCUCAGGGGUCCCCAGCACCCUAGCCCUCCUGGGCUGCCAGUCCAGCCACUCCAGGGUGGCUCCUGCCCGGUGGGGGCUGUGGCCCUUGGGCCAGCUGGCAGCACAGCCAGGGAUAAGCAUGUCUGUACCCCCACACGUCUCCCACCCACCUGAGCGCCAUGUGUUCCCGGACACGGGCGGGCGCCUCCUUGGGCAGCAAGGGGCCCCAGGAGCUCUCACUGUUGGCCCUUGCGUAGUUCACUAUCUUCCCACUUGUUUAGAAUGAAGGAGCAAGAAUUUAUACAAAUAAGCAGAAUUUUUUCUUUCUUUUUUUUUUUUGAGACAGAGUCUCACAUUGUCGCCCAAUCUGGAGUGCACUGGCACUAUCUUGGCUCACUGCAACCUCCUCCUCCCGGGUUCAAGCAAUUCUCCCGCCUCAGCCCCCCGAGUAGCUGGGAUUACAGGUGCACCACGCCCGGCCAAUUUUUGUGUUUUCAGUAGAGACAGGGUUUCACCAUGUUGGCCAGGCUGGUCUCAAACUCCUGGUUUCAAGUGAUCUGCCUGCCUCAGCCCCCCAAAGUGGUGGGAUUACAGGCGUGGGCCACUGUGCCUGGCCCAAAUAAGCAGAAUUUUAAAUUGAGAGAUGAAGCCACCUGCAGCCCAAUCCCAGUUAUCAAAGCUAAGGCACAGGCGGGGCAGACACUCCAGGCUCUGUGUCUACAUGCAUGGAGGCGACAGUCGGGCUCCAGGCUCCUCCUGGGUCUGAGCAUCCUGUGGCCGGGCUCUCCACCCAGGCAAGGCCCACCUGGGCUCUGUCCUCUGCCAAGCAGCAUGGCUGAGCUCCUGGAGAUGAGGGCGGGCCCAGGUCCUUGCUGCUUGCUGCUGGGAAAGGAGCCCAGACGGAGAAGGGGCCAUGUUGGGGCUGGACCCUCAGGUAGAGGAUCACUGUGUCCAUUAUGUUGGGUAUAGAGAGAAGUGGGUAGAGCUGCGUGUGCAUCUGAUCCCAGCUCUGUCCUGAGAGGGCCCACAGCCCGGACUCAGCCACAGCAGAUGCCAGUUCCACAGUUCCAGGCGCUGGUUCCAUGGUUCCUGCUCUGCUCACAGGAGCCGGGGCUCUAACAUGGAGGCAGGUUCGGAAGGCACAGGAAGCAGCUGAAAGGGGUCCCCACGGACCAGAACUAGGCCAAUAGGCAGUGACGUUGAAGACCACAAUCCAUUGACUCAACCAGGAAAUCAUGGGUCCAGGCUGAUAGCAAUGGACAGAUCGGUCAGGGGAAUGGGGCACUCUUCCACGCGAGAGUGCCAGCCAAGGAACGCGACAGGAACGGCGCGCCGGGCGACCACGGAUGGGUGCUGAACCAGAGGGAUUCCCAUCAGACAGAUGCGAAGCAGCAUCUCCCCACACGUGACUUCUUAUUUCCAAGGGAAAUGCUGGCUUUCCAGUGGAGCAGCCUGUUGGACCCCAGCUGACCCGAGUGAUCAGAGCUCCCAUCGCCAGUGCUGGGAUGCGCCCGUGUCACGUGCCUCUGGGCGGGUCGCACUGAGACGGCACAGACUCGCGCUCGGGGUCCCUGCCAAAAAUGCAGAACCUGAGCUUAUGCAUGAGGAGACCUCAGGCAAGCCCAAACAGAGGGACAUCUGCAGAUGAGCGGGUCUAGAUGCUCGGCGAGUGCCCAAACAUGGAAGCUGGGGAGCCACUCCAGUUAGGAGACCUGGGAGACCCCAUGUAGAAAUGCCAGGUGGGACCCUGGACCCUGCACAGGAGAGACGGGCAUCAGGUCAUCAUCCGUAGAAACGCCACGUGGGACCGUGGACCCUGCACAGGAGAGACGGGCAUCAGGUCAUCAUCCGUAGAAACGCCACGUGGGACCAUGGACCCUGCACAGGAGAGACGGGCAUCAGGUCAUCAUCCGUAGAAACGCCACGUAGGACCCUGGACCCUGCACAGGAGAGACAGCGUCAGGGCAUCAUCCGUAGAAACACCAUGUGGGACCGUGGACCCUGCACAGGAGAGACAGUGUAGAAAUGCCACGUGGGACCCUGGGCUCUGCACAGGAGAGACAGUGUCAGGGCGUUAUCUGGACGGUUGGUGACAUUUGCACACGGGCCACGGACCAGGUUACGUAUUGUGUACACCCACCCAAGUACUGAGGUGUGACACGGCACUGCGUCUCCAGCCUACCUCCUGUAGUGCAGGAAGCCAGUGCAGGGUGGGUAAGGAAGUGCACAGGGGUCCAGGGACUGUCCCACAGCACUCCUGACGAAAGCUGGUCCCCUUCCACGGCCCUAGCCAAGGAGCCAGGUCUGCAAAGCUGGGACCAGGUGUGUGUGGAGGCACGUGUUCCCACUUCUCCCAUGGCAGAGGGAGAGCCUGUGGACGACAGUGGGGCACUCUGCUCCCAGGCAGGUCCCACUGGGCUGAGCCGCACAGCCUGGCUUUGGGCUUCCCUGACUGCACCACCCACAUCAGCUGCCUCUAGUCCUUAAAACACAAAACUUCCCCCAGUCACUGGCCACCAGGGCUGAGUUGGGGGAUGUGUUACGUCCCUGGGUCCACUGGGGGGCAGUGUUGGCCAUGGCGUUGGUGCUGGCUCUGCCGAGAGGUGUUGGAGUGGCUGUGUGGGGUGGUGAGCACCGGCCCAGCCUGAUGGAACCCACUGUACCAGGCCCAGGCCUCAGCCUCUGAGAAGGACUUCCCUGUGUCACUCACUCACACAUGUCCUCAGGACGUGAAGACAUUUCAGCAGACCAAAGUUUCCUUCGAAUUUCCUUCGAAUCGUCCAGAUACUUGGAGACAUCUCCUCCUCACCUGGGGGGUGCCGGGGCAGUCCCAGGCAUGGGGGCAGAUGGGUGGACAGCUGCUGCUGCCCUGCUGGGGGUGGGCAGCCCUUGGAGCACACAGUGGUGAAGACAUUCCUGAAUAUGUCUCAGGCUGUAGAAAUCUUAUUUUGUGGAAAGAUUUUAGAGAAUCAUCAAAAUAAACUUUUACCAAAUAACAUUUUACCAG